rnacentral:rRNA from 1 species
GAUGAACGCUGGCGGCGUGCCUAAUACAUGCAAGUCGAGCGAACAGAUGAGGAGCUUGCUCCUCUGACUUUAGCGGCGGACGGGUGAGUAACACGUGGAUAACCUACCUAUCAGACUGGGAUAACUUCGGGAAACCGGAUCUAAUACCGGAUAAUAUAUUGAACCGGAUUGUUCAAUCGUUAAAGACGGUUUUUGUUUCACUUAUAGCUGGCUCCGGGCCGCAUUGACUAGUUGGCUAGGUAACGGCUUAGCCAGGCAACGAUGCGUACCCGACCCCCGAGGGUGAUCGGCCACGCUGGAACUGAGACACGGUCCACACUACUACGGGAGGCAGCAGUAGGGAAUUCUCCGCAAUGGGAGAAGGCGUGACGGAGCAACGACGCGUGAGUGACGAAGGUCUCAGGAUCGUAAAACUCUGUUAUUAGGGAAGAACAAAUGUCUAAGUAACUAUGCACGUCUUGAAGGUACCUAGUAAGAUAGCCACGGCUAACUACGUG